rnacentral:piRNA from 1 species
UNGAAAAGUGCCUUUUUAUUUCUCUACUC